GGGUGGGUUUUGGACCAAGACUUCCUGCCCAGGAAAAAGUGGGCCAUGUGCACACACCUGCCCCUUUCUGGGGUCCCCGGCUCCCCGCAGGCCCUCCCUGCAGACCCCAUGCAGCCAAGCUUCCCCCCACUGCCCUCAGCUGUGGGGGCUGAGAGGGGCCAGCAGGGCUGGGGGCUGGGCAGUGGGAGUGCUCCUGUGCCUGUGUUUCUAUGAGGCCAGGGUGGGGUUGGGCUGGGGUCUGUGUUCCCAGGGGACCCCCGCCCUUCAUGCCCCACCUGCCCCCCAGGGCUUGGCUUUAGGCACACACCCCUCAGAGGGGACCCUCGGCAGGGUCAAGACCUGCCCAUGAGACCCCAGCUGGCACUCAGGCAGCCUUCCCGCAUCCAUCGCAGGGGGCACUUGUGCCUUCCGCACCUUCCCCACCCCCGUAAACACCAUCAGGACCAGCUCCCGGUCGCCUUUCUGGUGGAGAAGCUUCCUGGCCUCCAGCUGCUGGCUGCCCGGGCUGGCACAUUGGGCACACACGGACCAUCCCAGCUCUGCCCAGCCCCCAGGGAUUGGGGGGGAGGGGCAGGAUGAGGGGAGGGGUGGGGGCAGACGUGGAGGUUCCCCCACCCCACCCCGGUCAGGCCGCGCCCUGGCGAGGAAUCUUGGCGCAGGGCAGCCAGCUCUGAUGCCCAGGCGGCUUUGGUAUUUCACAUUGACAUAGUUUUGGGGUGAGACCAGGCUCUGGACUUUCAGUCAUACUGCGGGGUACCUGAGGCCAUGGUGGGCAGAGGGCACUGAACCCGCUGAGCUGAGGGUAGGAGCUCCUGGCUCAACCGCACCUGCCGGUCCUGCGUGGCCUGGAUACUCAGCUGAGAGAUGGGAAUAAGGGAAUUUGGGAAAAGAGAUGACGCAACGGGUGAAAAGGAGCCCCAGGACCCUGCCCCCAAGGCUGGCCGUCCAGGGAACCCUGGCCGACAACACCUGUCACCCAGGCAUGCUCAGCUUGGAAUCAGGUGAGAGUUCAGGUCUCUGCCAAUGGCUGGGCCCCCUCCCUGCAGGACCAUUUUCACUGGGGUCACCCACGGCCCCCCAGAGCCCCAUUUGGCAAGGACUGUCUUCAAAAACCGCUCUCUCGGGUAAACAGUGGCGUCUACUGGUUGUAGGUGCAACACAACUCCCGAGGAAUGAGUUCCUGGAAAAAUCCGGAGCAGAGAAGCUUUGGACAGUGUGUGUUUCUUUGUUGGUAAAUAAUCUCCACUAAGCGAGCUUGGCAGCCCUGCGGGCGCACCCGGGACAGGUGCUCUGGGCCUGGGCCUGUCCUCCGCACAAGAGCUGGACUCUAACCCUCCGCCCCACUGGGACCCAUGGAGGUGGAGGGGCG
rnacentral:lncRNA from 1 species